UUCUUCUCUUCUUGUCACAUCAUUCAGCACUCGAGAGUCGAGACAGACACUCUUUCUUUCUUAGGUACUUCUUCUUCUUCUUCUCUUCAUUUACAGUAUAUGUUGAUUGUUGGCUAGAUGAAUGAGUUUAAUUUCUCUUAAAACAUUUGACACAUUUCUGCAUAUUAGAAACCCUAGAUUUUGUAUUGGGGAAAAAUUGGAUGUUUUUGUAUGUGUAAACAAUUCUCCAUAAAAAUCCAAAAUUUUAUAUGAUCUCUGGACUUUGUACCUGCAAUUUGACACUCACUCACUAUCUGUAUUAAGCUCUUGACUUUGUACCUGCAAUUUGACAUCUUUGGCCAUUUUUAGUUGUGGCUAACAGAGUCCUAACUCUUUGUUUUACUCUGCUUUGUCAACCAAAUGUAUGUCUUUGAUUUAUGUUGCUGUUGGAGAUCAGAUGAUCAAUCAAAUUUUACUAGAGCAGUUGUUAUUUAAGUAAGCUUAUACAAAAAUUCGAAGAAUACAUGAUGUAAAUUUUAAAUUAAACUCUGUUACAUACAUAUCAAAAGAAAAUAAAUUGCUUGGAAUUUAACUUAUACAUUAUAUUGGACCAACAAAAACUACCAAUCUAUCGCAUUAACUUGACAGUGGGUAUUCAUCCCAUUAGUUUUUUUUUUUUUUUUUCAUGCUAAUUUCCAGGCUUUCUUUAAAAUGAAAAUAUAUAUGCUCAGAAUCAGAAUAUAUGGUGAUCAGCUUUGGUUUUGGGCAGGUAAGCCACCUUAUGAUACACUGUGCUGUUGGUGGGCAGGAAAUCUGGAAUCUGUCACAAUGACAUUACCUGGGGUUCUAAGACCUGUGCUGUUGGUGGGCAGGAAAUCUGGAAAUCUGGAAUCUGUCACAAUUUUGUCGACAUUUACAGUUGAUCAUCACUGCUUGUGACUUGUGAGGUUCUAAGACCUGUGUUACUGCUGCAGAUCUGUUGCAGAAUCUGCUUGGUGGCCUAAUGGCUUUGAUCUCUACUUCUCUUGUGAUUUUGUAAACUUAAUGUGAUGCUGUCAUUUGUAGAAACUGAAUUGUGUUAUUCUGAAUUUCUGAUAGAUGUAAUAUGACUGAAUGGGCAAUUUCAGAUUUUC
rnacentral:lncRNA from 1 species